UCAAUAAGCGGAGGAAAAGAAACCAACAGGGAUUGCCCCAGUAACGGCGAGUGAAGCGGCAACAGCUCAAAUUUGAAAUCUGGCCCCUAGGGCCCGAGUUGUAAUUUGCAGAGGAUGCUUUUGGCGAGGCGCCGCCCGAGUUCCCUGGAACGGGACGCCGCAGAGGGUGAGAGCCCCGUCUGGCUGGCCGCCGAGCCUCUGUAAAGCUCCUUCGACGAGUCGAGUAGUUUGGGAAUGCUGCUCAAAAUGGGAGGUAUAUGUCUUCUAAAGCUAAAUAUUGGCCAGAGACCGAUAGCGCACAAGUAGAGUGAUCGAAAGAUGAAAAGCACUUUGAAAAGAGGGUUAAACAGUACGUGAAAUUGUUGAAAGGGAAGCGCUCGUGACCAGACUUGGCGCGGGGGGAUCAUCCGGCGUUCUCGCCGGUGCACUCCGCCCGCGCCAGGCCAGCAUCAGUUCGCGCCGGGGGACAAAGGCGGCGGGAAUGUGGCUCCUCCGGGAGUGUUAUAGCCCGCCGCGCAAUACCCUGGGGCGGACUGAGGACCGCGCAUUCGUGCAAGGAUGCUGGCGUAAUGGUCACCAGCGACCCGUCUUGAAACACGGACCAAGGAG
rnacentral:rRNA from 1 species